GACGAACGCUGGCGGCGUGCUUAACACAUGCAAGUCGAACGGAAAGGCCCUGCUUUUGUGGGUUGCUCGAGUGGCGAACGGGUGAGUAACACGUGAGUAACCUGCCCUUGACUUUGGGAUAACUUCAGGAAACUGGGGCUAAUACCGGAUAUGAGCUCCUGCUGCAUGGUGGGGGUUGGAAAGUUUCGGCUGUUGGGGAUGGACUCGCGGCUUAUCAGCUUGUUUGUGGGGUAGUGGCUUACCAAGGCUUUGACGGGUAGCCGGCCUGAGAGGGUGACCGGCCACAUGGGGACUGAGAUACGGACCAGACGCCUACGGGAGGCAGCAGUGGGGAAUAUGGCACAAUGGGCGGAAGCCUGAGGCAGAAACGCCGCGUGCGGGAUGACGGGCUUCGGGUUGUAAACCGAUGUCGACUGUGACGAAGAGUGAGUGACGGUAAUGGGUAAAGAAGCACCGGCUAACUACGUG
rnacentral:rRNA from 1 species